CCACGGUUUAGUUAGGGGGCAUAAAUUGAUUUUAUGGAUUCGAAUUGGAUCGGUUUGUUUCUAUUUGAAUCGGAGGCCUUUUGAGGGGACUCUCUUAUCAGUUUUCUCGUGGAUUGUUCCCCAAGCAGCCUCCAACAUUU